rnacentral:rRNA from 1 species
AGGAAGGCUCGUCCGCUCUGGGUUAGUCGGGUCCUAAGCUGAGGCCGACAGGCGUAGGCGAUGGAUAACAGGUUGAUAUUCCUGUACCACCUAUAAUCGUUUUAAUCGAUGGGGGGACGCAGUAGGAUAGGCGAAGCGUGCGAUUGGAUUGCACGUCUAAGCAGUAAGGCUGAGUAUUAGGCAAAUCCGGUACUCGUUAAGGCUGA